rnacentral:rRNA from 1 species
GGGUUGUGAGGUUAAGCGACUAAGCGUACACGGUGGAUGCCCUGGCAGUCAGAGGCGAUGAAGGACGUGCUAAUCUGCGAUAAGCGUCGGUAAGGUGAUAUGAACCGUUAUAACCGGCGAUUUCCGAAUGGGGAAACCCAGUGUGAUUCGUCACACUAUCAUUAACUGAAUCCAUAGGUUAAUGAGGCGAACCGGGGGAACUGAAACAUCUAAGUACCCCGAGGAAAAGAAAUCAACCGAGAUUCCCCCAGUAGCGGCGAGCGAACGGGGAGCAGCCCAGAGCCUGAAUCAGUGUGUGUGUUAGUGGAAGCGUCUGGAAAGGCGCGCGAUACAGGGUGACAGCCCCGUACACAAAAAUGCACAUGCUGUGAGCUCGAUGAGUAGGGCGGGACACGUGGUAUCCUGUCUGAAUAUGGGGGGACCAUCCUCCAAGGCUAAAUACUCCUGACUGACCGAUAGUGAACCAGUACCGUGAGGGAAAGGCGAAAAGAACCCCGGCGAGGGGAGUGAAAAAGAACCUGAAACCGUGUACGUACAAGCAGUGGGAGCACGCUUAGGCGUGUGACUGCGUACCUUUUGUAUAAUGGGUCAGCGACUUAUAUUCUGUAGCAAGGUUAACCGAAUAGGGGAGCCGAAGGGAAACCGAGUCUUAACUGGGCGUUAAGUUGCAGGGUAUAGACCCGAAACCCGGUGAUCUAGCCAUGGGCAGGUUGAAGGUUGGGUAACACUAACUGGAGGACCGAACCGACUAAUGUUGAAAAAUUAGCGGAUGACUUGUGGCUGGGGGUGAAAGGCCAAUCAAACCGGGAGAUAGCUGGUUCUCCCCGAAAGCUAUUUAGGUAGCGCCUCGUGAAUUCAUCUCCGGGGGUAGAGCACUGUUUCGGCAAGGGGGUCAUCCCGACUUACCAACCCGAUGCAAACUACGAAUACCGGAGAAUGUUAUCACGGGAGACACACGGCGGGUGCUAACGUCCGUCGUGAAGAGGGAAACAACCCAGACCGCCAGCUAAGGUCCCAAAGUCAUGGUUAAGUGGGAAACGAUGUGGGAAGGCCCAGACAGCCAGGAUGUUGGCUUAGAAGCAGCCAUCAUUUAAAGAAAGCGUAAUAGCUCACUGGUCGAGUCGGCCUGCGCGGAAGAUGUAACGGGGCUAAACCAUGCACCGAAGCUGCGGCAGCGACGCUUAUGCGUUGUUGGGUAGGGGAGCGUUCUGUAAGCCUGCGAAGGUGUGCUGUGAGGCAUGCUGGAGGUAUCAGAAGUGCGAAUGCUGACAUAAGUAACGAUAAAGCGGGUGAAAAGCCCGCUCGCCGGAAGACCAAGGGUUCCUGUCCAACGUUAAUCGGGGC